GGGGCGGAUGUAGCCAAGUGGAUUAAGGCAGU
rnacentral:tRNA from 4 species